UGGGGAAUCUUGGACAAUGGGGGCAACCCUGAUCCAGCCAUGCCGCGUGAGUGAUGAAGGCCUUAGGGUCGUAAAGCUCUUUCGCCUGUGAAGAUAAUGACGGUAGCAGGUAAAGAAACCCCGGCUAACUCCGUGCCAGCAGCCGCGGUAAUACGGAGGGGGUUAGCGUUGUUCGGAAUUACUGGGCGUAAAGCGCACGUAGGCGGACCAGAAAGUUGGGGGUGAAAUCCCGGGGGCUCAACCCCGGAACUGCCUCCAAAACUAUUGGUCUAGAGUUCGAGAGAGGUGAGUGGAAUUCCAAGUGUAGAGGUGAAAUUCGUAGAUAUUUGGAGGAACACCAGUGGCGAAGGCGGCUCACUGGCUCGAUACUGACGCUGAGGUGCGAAAGUGUGGGGAGCAAACAGGAUUAGAUACCCUGGUAGUCCA
rnacentral:rRNA from 1 species